rnacentral:misc_RNA from 1 species
UAGCCCAAGCUGAUCUUGA